rnacentral:rRNA from 1 species
UACGGAGGGUGCAAGCGUUGUCCGGAAUCACUGGGCGUAAAGAGCUCGUAGGCGGUCUGUCGCGUCGAUCGUGAAAACUUGGGGCUUAACCCUGAGCUUGCGGUCGAUACGGGCAGUGACUGGAGUUCGGCAGGGGAGACUGGAAUUCCUGGUGUAGCGGUGAAAUGCGCAGAUAUCAGGAGGAACACCGGUGGCGAAGGCGGGUCUCUGGGCCGAUACUGACGCUGAGGAGCGAAAGCGUGGGGAGCGAACAGG